rnacentral:misc_RNA from 1 species
GAUGAAGAACGUAGCGAAAUGCGAUACUUGGUGUGAAUUGCAGAAUCCCGUGAACCAUCGAGUCUUUGAACGCAAGUUGCGCCCGAAGCCACUAGGCCGAGGGCACGCCUGCCUGGGCGUCACACGCCGUUGCCCCCCCAUCUACUCCUUCGGGAUUGCGGGGGGGGCGGAUGAUGGCCUCCCGUGCGCCUAGCCGCGCGGUUGGCAUAAAUACCAAGUCCUCGGCGACGCACGCCACGACAAUCGGUGGUUGCGAAACCUCGGUUGCCCGUCGUGUGCGUUCGUCGCGCAUCGAGGGCUCGAAAAAAUGCUCGGCUCCGGCUGGGCUUUCAACGCGACCCCAGGUCAGGCGGGGUUACCCGCUGAAUUUAAGCAUAUCAAUAAGCGAGGA